rnacentral:rRNA from 1 species
GAUGAACGCUGGCGGCGUGCCUAAUACAUGCAAGUCGAGCGAACAGACGCGGAGCUUGCUCCUCUGUCGUUAGCGGAGGACGGGUGAGUAACACGUGGAUAACCUACCUAUAAGACUGGGAUCAUUUCGGGAAACCGGCGCUAAUCCCGGAUAAUCUAGUGAUCCGCAUGGUGCAAUAGUGAAAGUCGGUUUUGCUGUCUCUUAUCGAUGGUUCCGCGCCGCAUUGGGUAGUUGGUAAGGUAACGGCUUAUCAAGGCAACGAUGCGUGGCCGACCGGAGAGGGUGAUCGGCCACACUGGAACUGAGACAGGGUCCAUGCUCCUACGGGAGGCAGCAGUAGGGAAUCUUCCGCAAUGGGCGAAAGCCUGACGGAGCAACGCCGCGUGAGUGAUGAAGGUCUUCGGAUCGUAAAACUCGGUUAUGAGGGAAGAACAAAUGUGUAAGGAACUAUGCAGGUCUUGACGGUACCUAAUCAGAAAGCCACGGCUAACUACGUG